rnacentral:lncRNA from 1 species
AGACCCGCAGGGACUUCACCCAGAGCUCGGUGAAAUCCCAUCAGCAUCAGGAUCGCCGCCAGCCCUGCGCUGCCACGUCCCCGGCACCCUUUGAUCCAGCAGCAUCCGAGCACAGCCAGGGCCGCGCUGAGGCUCCGCCGCUGAUGUUUUCCCAGCUGCAGGAUCAGCGUGACCUGGCCUCGAGGGCUCUGUGCCAGCGUGAGGUCGCUGCUGACGCCAGUGCUGACCCCUGCAUCGGGACCAGACAGCCAGGAACACCCCGGACCCGAGAGCUCAGCAAGCGGGAGCACUGCGGGGCACAGGCAGACGAGGGUGCAACCACGAGGUACCAGCAGGAGCCCAGCCCCAGAGUUCACCCCUGAUGCUAGGCUCAACACCCUCCCUCCACCCCAACAUCCCGGGGCCCCUCGGGACCGGCGCCACAGCCACUGUGUCUUGUCCCCCCGCCGAAGGCUGCCACCAAGCCCAGACAGGCGGGCUCCUCACGCAGCUCGUGACACGAGGUCUGGUCUGGGAGACCCGUGGGAGACAAAAGGGGAUGCAGAGAGCAGGGGGGUGAUUUUGCAGAAAAGUAAAAAUAAAGAUGCAGGAAUGGUGACCUCGGGCAGAGCCGGGGGAUCUGAAUGGCAGCUCUGUGCCGGCAGAGGGGCAGGGCAUGAGGCCACAUGCAGCCUGUCCCUGCAGCUGCUCGGGACAAACAGGACAUGGAGAAAGAGAGCAGAAGAGGAGGGUGAGCUCAUGGGGUCAGGGCCCCAGAGGCCCUCAGGAGCUUUGGCUUUUGCUGGGCAGGCUCGGUUCCCAGCACCCCAAUCAACCUCUAAGCCUUGCUGUGUCUGGGUGGCAGGAGGAGCUGCUUUGGGGUGCUGCAGGGAUGCAGAGCAGGACCCAGGCACAGUGGGUGCAUUUGCAGGGUGCCCCAGUCAAGCACAGCUCAUACAAGGCACCCCACGGUCCAGGCAGGGACCUGCUGCCCUCAAGCGCCCACAGUGCUGGGAUUCCCUGGGGCUCAGCUUCACAUCCUUCCCCUCCUACUCACCAGUGCUGCAGAGGGAUCCUACCUGCUAGUGCUGGACCCAGUCAGUCACGCUGCCUUCUGCCCUGCCCAUAGCCUCCUCUGCCAGCCCCAGUGCCCAUGAGAGGGGCACAACCCACAGCAAGUUCUUGGACUCCUUUCUCCAAUAACCACACAAAUAAAAA